GUGGAUGCCCUGGCAGUCAGAGGCGAUGAAGGACGUGCUAAUCUGCGAUAAGCGUCGGUGAGGUGAUAUGAACCGUUAUAACCGGCGAUUUCCGAAUGGGGAAACCCAGUGUGUUUCGACACACUAUCAUUAACUGAAUCCAUAGGUUAAUGAGGCGAACCGGGGGAACUGAAACAUCUAAGUACCCCGAGGAAAAGAAAUCAACCGAGAUUCCCCCAGUAGCGGCGAGCGAACGGGGAGGAGCCCAGAGCCUGAAUCAGUGUGUGUGUUAGUGGAAGCGUCUGGAAAGGCGUGCGAUACAGGGUGACAGCCCCGUACACAAAAAUGCACAUAUUGUGAGCUCGAUGAGUAGGGCGGGACACGUGGUAUCCUGUCUGAAUAUGGGGGGACCAUCCUCCAAGGCUAAAUACUCCUGACUGACCGAUAGUGAACCAGUACCGUGAGGGAAAGGCGAAAAGAACCCCGGCGAGGGGAGUGAAAAAGAACCUGAAACCGUGUACGUACAAGCAGUGGGAGCCUCUUAAUGGGGUGACUGCGUACCUUUUGUAUAAUGGGUCAGCGACUUAUAUUCUGUAGCAAGGUUAACCGAAUAGGGGAGCCGAAGGGAAACCGAGUCUUAACUGGGCGUUAAGUUGCAGGGUAUAGACCCGAAACCCGGUGAUCUAGCCAUGGGCAGGUUGAAGGUUGGGUAACACUAACUGGAGGACCGAACCGACUAAUGUUGAAAAAUUAGCGGAUGACUUGUGGCUGGGGGUGAAAGGCCAAUCAAACCGGGAGAUAGCUGGUUCUCCCCGAAAGCUAUUUAGGUAGCGCCUCGUGAAUUCAUCUCCGGGGGUAGAGCACUGUUUCGGCAAGGGGGUCAUCCCGACUUACCAACCCGAUGCAAACUGCGAAUACCGGAGAAUGUUAUCACGGGAGACACACGGCGGGUGCUAACGUCCGUCGUGAAGAGGGAAACAACCCAGACCGCCAGCUAAGGUCCCAAAGUCAUGGUUAAGUGGGAAACGAUGUGGGAAGGCCCAGACAGCCAGGAUGUUGGCUUAGAAGCAGCCAUCAUUUAAAGAAAGCGUAAUAGCUCACUGGUCGAGUCGGCCUGCGCGGAAGAUGUAACGGGGCUAAACCAUGCACCGAAGCUGCGGCAGCGACACUAUGUGUUGUUGGGUAGGGGAGCGUUCUGUAAGCCUGUGAAGGUGGCCUGUGAGGGUUGCUGGAGGUAUCAGAAGUGCGAAUGCUGACAUAAGUAACGAUAAAGCGGGUGAAAA
rnacentral:rRNA from 1 species